UUGCCAGACUCCUACGGGAGGCAGCAGUGGGGAAUAUUGCACAAUGGGGGAAACCCUGAUGCAGCGACGCCGCGUGAAGGAUGAAGUAUUUCGGUAUGUAAACUUCUAUCAGCAGGGAAGAAAAUGACGGUACCUGACUAAGAAGCCCCGGCUAACUACGUGCCAGCAGCCGCGGUAAUACGUAGGGGGCAAGCGUUAUCCGGAUUUACUGGGUGUAAAGGGAGCGUAGACGGCAGCGCAAGUCUGGAGUGAAAUGCCGGGGCCCAACCCCGGAACUGCUCUGGAAACUGUGAAGCUGGAGUGCAGGAGAGGUAAGCGGAAUUCCUGGUGUAGCGGUGAAAUGCGUAGAUAUUAGGAGGAGCACCAGUGGCGAAGGCGGCUUACUGGACUGUAACUGACGUUGAGGCUCGAAAGCGUGGGGAGCAAACAGGAUUAGAUACCCGUGUACUG
rnacentral:rRNA from 1 species